rnacentral:rRNA from 1 species
CACAGUGUAUCAAUACAUGGGUGGCGACCGGCAAACGGGUGCGGAACACGUACGCAACCUUCCUUCAGGCGGGGAAUAGCCCAGAGAAAUUUGGAUUAAUACCCCAUAAUAUUUUGAGAUGGCAUCAUCUUAUUAUUAAAGCUACGGCACCUGGAGAUGGGCGUGCGGCUGAUUAGGUAGUUGGCGGGGUAAUGGCCCACCAAGCCUACGAUCAGUAGCUGAUGUGAGAGCAUGAUCAGCCACACAGGCACUGAGACACGGGCCCGACUCCUACGGGAGGCAGCAGUAAGGAAUAUUGGUCAAUGGACGCAAGUCUGAACCAGCCAUGCCGCGUGGAGGAUGAAGGUCCUCUGGAUUGUAAACUUCUUUUAUCUGGGACGAAAAAAGGGUUUUCUAACUCGUCUGACGGUACCCAGAUGAAUAAGCACCGGCUAACUCCGUGCCAGCAGCCGCGGUAAUACGGAGGGUGCAAGCGUUAUCCGGAUUCACUGGGUUUAAAGGGUGCGUAGGCGGGCAUUUAAGUCAGUGGUGAAAUACCUGAGCUUAACUUGGGAACUGCCAUUGAUACUAUUUGUCUUGAAUGUCGUGGAGGUUAGCGGAAUAUGUCAUGUAGCGGUGAAAUGCUUAGAUAUGACAUAGAACACCUAUUGCGAAGGCAGCUAACUACGCGAAUAUUGACGCUGAGGCACGAAAGCGUGGGGAUCAAACAGGACUAGAUACCCUGGUAGUCCACGCCCUAAACGAUGAUUACUCGACAUUAGCGAUACACUGUUAGUGUCUGAGCG